UACGUAGGGGGCAAGCGUUGUCCGGAAUCAUUGGGCGUAAAGCGCGUGUAGGCGGCUCGAUAAGUCUGCUGUGAAAGUUCAGGGCUCAACCCUGAAAUGCCGGUGGAAACUGUCGGGCUAGAGUCCGGAAGAGGCGAGUGGAAUUCCUGGUGUAGCGGUGAAAUGCGCAGAUAUCAGGAAGAACACCCGUGGCUAAGGCGGCUCUCUAGUACGGUACUGACGCUGAGACGCGAAAGCGUGGGGAGCGAACAGG
rnacentral:rRNA from 1 species